UUGUCCAGGACGUUUAUGCUAUUUCGUAGUUCUGACCGUUCUGACUGAAGCAGUAUACUUUCAAAUCGCGUUUUUGGUACGUUGGGGUUGGCUCUAGGUGGGAUACGAAGUUAGAAGUAUAUUCAUGAAUGGAGGUACUCCAAACUCUGUUGAGCACGAGCCCCCAAACAAGUCAUUGUACUAUAGUGUAUUGUAAUGACAGUUCUGGAGAUAAACUUUCAUUCUGUUUCGCUCACCAUAUCCAAAGCCGAAACGGGAUCAAACGCACAUGCAUUUAUUCUCCAUUCUUAGAUAUUGACAUACGCGCUGUCUGACGGAAAUAAAAGUAAACUCGCCAGAUAUAACGUGAGGAACGUGAGUCGUCGUUACGGUAGUUACCGUCGUUACCUUACAGCGAAGAUGCCUAUAAUGAACAAAAUUGGCACCGAGCAAGCACAUGAUAUAACAUCACAUGCGUUUGUUUUUGCGUAAAAAAAAACUUGUUUUGUUCUAAGGCCGAAUGGAUUUUGAACGUUUGCAGGUGGAUUACGGUGCAGAGCAAGACCAUCGUAAGCGUCACAUGUUACUGUAUUGCAGAAGUUAGUCAUUGCAAGAACAGUAAUAACCACAGCAAGAAGCAGUGUGAGGGAAACAAGCUGCAUGUUGCCAUCUAGGAUGUGACGCCGUACAGUCUGUUAUAUAUACACCAACAUAUCAGAGCAUCCUGCUGCUAUAUUCAGUACUGCCCUGUCACAUCAGUUUGUUCGGAUGUCCUCCUGACCAUGAGAACCUCAGAUCUUGUGAGUUAAGUGUAUUGAAAAAAUGGAACAGAGAGGGAAGCAGAAGAUUGAGAAAGAUGCAACAGAAAAGAAGAGGUGAAAGAGAUGUUGGCAAGAAGUAUGAGAUUGAAGCUAUUUACGGCUCUCUGCAUGUGGGAAAGGUCUUUUAUGUGUAAGCUGCGGUGUUUCUCUUCGCCACCAUCACAUCCAGGCUAGUUCUGGCCCCCCUUUGAGUGUUCUGGUCAUGGAUUCCUUGGCGCUUUUGCUCUAACCAUGCAGUUGACAGCUUGCCUCCAUCUAGUGGGAGAUUAAGAGGCUAACUCAAGAAGCUGAGUCCUUCUUGAGAAGCCAGUAGUUACUCAGGCACUAAGGAAAUUCCAAACAUUUUGUAGAAUCCAAAGGCUCAUUACUGUGUGUACAAGAGCCCACUAACAUUUCCUAUCCUGAGCCAGAUGAAUCUGGUCCACAUAUUCCCUUCCUGUUUCUUUAAGAUUCGUUUUCCAUCCAGGCAAAAGGUGUAGAAUUUGUGAAACUUCACCUCAACAUAGUAUGUAUUCCUUUGUGGCAUCAUAUCUAAGCAGAAGAGUUCCUACUUGAUAUGGCACUGAUGAAUGCUUUUGCUGAUUUACGUUAGUUGCUAAUCAUCAGACCACCACCUUGA